UCAAGAAACUUCCACAAUGGGCGAAAGCCUGAUGGAGCGACGUCGCGUGAUGGACGAAGUGCUUCGGCACGUAAACAUCUUUUAUGUGGGAUGAAAUUAUUGACAGUACCACAUGAAUAAGGGGCUCCUAACUCUGUGCCAGCAGGAGCGGUAAUACAGAGGCCCCAAGCGUUAUCCGGAAUCACUGGGCGUAAAGGGUGUCGAGGCGGUUGUAUUAGUCGUUCGUAAAAUCUACGAGCUUAACUUGUAGGCGGCGAACGAAACGGUACGACUUGAGGUUUGGAGAGGUGCGUGGAACUCACGGUGUAGGGGUGAAAUCCGUUGAUAUCGUGGGGAACACCAAAGGCGAAGGCAGCGCACUGGCCAAAAUCUGACGCUCACACACGAAAGCUAGGGUAGCGAAGAGGAUUAGAUCCCAAGUAGUCCCUGAGCGGGCUGGCAAGGCGCAU
rnacentral:rRNA from 1 species